rnacentral:rRNA from 1 species
AACGUAGGUGGCGAGCGUUAUCCGGAGUUACUGGGCGUAAAGGGUGCGUAGGCGGCUGCGCGCGUGGAGGGUGAAAUCUCUCGGCUUACCCGGGAGGGGGCUUUCCAGACGGCGUGGCUUGAGGGACGGAGAGGGGCGUGGAAUUCCGGGUGGAGCGGUGAAAUGCGUAGAGAUCCGGAGGAACACCGACGGCGUAGGCAGCGCCCUGGCCGUUUCCUGACGCUGAAGCACGAAAGCUGGGGGAGCAAACAGG